UAGUAAAACUACACAUGCAAGUAUCCACGCCCCAGUGAGAAUGCCCUCUAAAUCGAUUAAAAGGAGCGGGUAUCAAGCACACUAGUAGCUCACAACACCUUGCUCAACCACACCCCCACGGGAAACAGCAGUGACAAGAAUUAAGCAAUAAACGAAAGUUUGACUAAGUUAUACUAAGAGUUGGUAAAUUUCGUGCCAGCCACCGCGGUCAUACGAUUAACCCAAAUUAAUAGAACCUCGGCGUAAAGCGUGUCAAAGAUAAAGUUAAAACCCUAGUUAAGCUGUAAAAAGCCACAACAAAAACAAAAUAGACCACGAAAGUGACUUUAAUACAUUCGCCCACACGACAGCUAAGGCCCAAACUGGGAUUAGAUACCCCACUAUGCUUAGCCCUAAACCUAAAUGAUUACAAAAUCAUUCGCCAGAGUACUACUAGCAAUAGCCUAAAACUCAAAGGACUUGGCGGUGCUUUAUAUCCCCCUAGAGGAGCCUGUUCCAUAACCGAUAAACCCCGAUAAACCUUACCAACCCUUGCUAAUUCAGCCUAUAUACCGCCAUCUUCAGCAAACCCUAAAAAAGGAACUAAAGUAAGCACAAGUAUAAGACAUAAAAACGUUAGGUCAAGGUGUAGCUUAUGGGAUGGAGAGAAAUGGGCUACAUUUUCUACUACAAGAAACGAAAGCCCCCAUGAAACUAAGGGCUAAAGGAGGAUUUAGCAGUAAAUUAAGAACAGAGAGCUUAAUUGAACAAGGCCAUAAAGCACGCACACACCGCCCGUCACCCUCCUUAAAUA
rnacentral:ncRNA from 2 species